GAUGAAGAACGUAGCGAAAUGCGAUAAGUAAUGUGAAUUGCAGAAUUCAGUGAAUCAUCGAAUCUUUGAACGCACCUUGCGCCCUUUGGACAUUCCGAAGGGCAUGCCUGUUUGAGUAUCAUGAACACCUCAACUCUCACGGCUUGUCCGUGAUGAGCUUGGACUUUGGGGGUCUUGCCGGCCUGUGGUCGGCUCCUCUCAAAUGGAUCAGCUUGCCAGUGUUUGGUGGCAUCACAGGUGUGAUAACUAUCUGCGCUUGUGGUUUUCCAUCAGAUAACCUUCAGUGAUAUGGAGGUUCGCUGGAGCUCACAAAUGUCUCUCCUUAGUGAGGACAGCUCUUUGAACGUUUGAUCUCAAAUCAGGUAGGACUACCCGCUGAACUUAAGCAUAUCUAAGCGGAGGA
rnacentral:misc_RNA from 1 species